rnacentral:rRNA from 1 species
AUACAUGCAAGUCGUACGCUUCUUUUUCCACCGGAGCUUGCUCCACCGGAAAAAGAAGAGUGGCGAACGGGUGAGUAACACGUGGGUAACCUGCCCAUCAGAAGGGGAUAACACUUGGAAACAGGUGCUAAUACCGUAUAACAAUCGAAACCGCAUGGUUUUGAUUUGAAAGGCGCUUUCGGGUGUCGCUGAUGGAUGGACCCGCGGUGCAUUAGCUAGUUGGUGAGGUAACGGCUCACCAAGGCCACGAUGCAUAGCCGACCUGAGAGGGUGAUCGGCCACAUUGGGACUGAGACACGGCCCAAACUCCUACGGGAGGCAGCAGUAGGGAAUCUUCGGCAAUGGACGAAAGUCUGACCGAGCAACGCCGCGUGAGUGAAGAAGGUUUUCGGAUCGUAAAACUCUGUUGUUAGAGAAGAACAAGGAUGAGAGUAACUGUUCAUCCCUUGACGGUAUCUAACCAGAAAGCCACGGCUAACUACGUGCCAGCAGCCGCGGUAAUACGUAGGUGGCAAGCGUUGUCCGGAUUUAUUGGGCGUAAAGCGAGCGCAGGCGGUUUCUUAAGUCUGAUGUGAAAGCCCCCGGCUCAACCGGGGAGGGUCAUUGGAAACUGGGAGACUUGAGUGCAGAAGAGGAGAGUGGAAUUCCAUGUGUAGCGGUGAAAUGCGUAGAUAUAUGGAGGAACACCAGUGGCGAAGGCGGCUCUCUGGUCUGUAACUGACGCUGAGGCUCGAAAGCGUGGGGAGCAAACAGGAUUAGAUACCCUGGUAGUCCACGCCGUAAACGAUGAGUGCUAAGUGUUGGAGGGUUUCCGCCCUUCAGUGCUGCAGCUAACGCAUUAAGCACUCCGCCUGGGGAGUACGACCGCAAGGUUGAAACUCAAAGGAAUUGACGGGGGCCCGCACAAGCGGUGGAGCAUGUGGUUUAAUUCGAAGCAACGCGAAGAACCUUACCAGGUCUUGACAUCCUUUGACCACUCUAGAGAUAGAGCUUCCCCUUCGGGGGCAAAGUGACAGGUGGUGCAUGGUUGUCGUCAGCUCGUGUCGUGAGAUGUUGGGUUAAGUCCCGCAACGAGCGCAACCCUUAUUGUUAGUUGCCACCAUUCAGUUGGGCACUCUAGCAAGACUGCCGUGACAAACCGGAGGAAGGUGGGGAUGACGUCAAUCAUCAUGCCCCUUAUGACC